AUUGAACGCUGGCGGAAUGCUUUACACAUGCAAGUCGAACGGCAGCACGGACUUCGGUCUGGUGGCGAGUGGCGAACGGGUGAGUAAUGUAUCGGAACGUGCCCAGUCGUGGGGGAUAACGUAGUGAAAAUUACGCUAAUACCGCAUACGAUCUAUGGAUGAAAGCGGGGGAUCGCAAGACCUCGCGCGAUUGGAGCGGCCGAUAACAGAUUAGGUAGUUGGUGGGGUAAAGGCCCACCAAGCCAACGAACUGAAGCUGGAAUGAGAGGACGACCAGCCACCGUGGAACUGAGACACGGUCGCGACUCCUACGGGAGGCAGCAGUGGGGAAUUUUGGACAAUGGGCGAAAGCCUGAUCCAGCCAUUCCGCGUGCAGGAUGAAGGCCCUCGGGUUGUAAACUGCUUUUGUACAGAACGAAAAAGUUUCUACUAAUACUAGGAGCUCAUGACGGUACUGUAAGAAUAAGCACCGGCUAACUACGUGCCAGCAGCCGCGGUAA
rnacentral:rRNA from 1 species